rnacentral:rRNA from 1 species
GAAUGGCAAGACGAAAGCUUAACUGUCUCCUUUCUCCAGUCAAUGAAACUGAUCUCCCAGUACAAAAGCUGGAAUACACCAAUUAGACGAGAAGACCCUAUGGAACUUUAAACACGCAUCAACCUUAUGUCAAGUGUUUACAAACAAUAAAACAACUAAAACUUGACCACGCUGUUUUUGGUUGGGGCAACCAUGGAGAAAAAUAAUCCUCCAAGAAAAUAAACUAAGUAACACAAAACAAGGUAUCAGCCACCAACAUGACCCAAUACAAUUGAUCAACGAACCAAGCUACCCUAGGGAUAACAGCGCUAUCUUCUCCAAGAGCCCAUAUCACCGAGAAG